rnacentral:hammerhead_ribozyme from 1 species
AUGCAGCUGACAAAUCCCAAAUAGGACGAAACGUGCGUCCUGGAU